GCAAACUUGGUCAUUUAGAGGAAGUAAAAGUCGUAACAAGGUUUCCGUAGGUGAACCUGCGGAAGGAUCAUUACAGUGCCUCCGGGCCGGGUCGUCUCCUUAGCUGGGGCGAUCCCGGUCCCGGAUCUGGCCCCACCCGUGUCUACUUAACUUUUGUUGCCUUGGCGGGCCCGUCGGUUCGCCGGCCGCCGGGGGGCUUCGGUUCGGCUUAACCGCCUAGCCGGAUCCCCCGGGCCCGUGUCCGCCAACGGCCAGUUGAACUCUUUGUUGUCGAUGUUGUCUGAGUGAGAAUUAAAUAGCUAAAACUUUCAACAAUGGAUCUCUUGGUUCCGGCAUCGAUGAAGAACGCAGC
rnacentral:misc_RNA from 1 species